AGUGAACGCUGGCGGUAGGCCUAACACAUGCAAGUCGAACGGCAGCACAGUAAGAGCUUGCUCUUACGGGUGGCGAGUGGCGGACGGGUGAGGAAUACAUCGGAAUCUACUUUUUCGUGGGGGAUAACGUAGGGAAACUUACGCUAAUACCGCAUACGACCUACGGGUGAAAGCAGGGGAUCUUCGGACCUUGCGCGAUUAAAUGAGCCGAUGUCGGAUUAGCUAGUUGGCGGGGUAAAGGCCCACCAAGGCGACGAUCCGUAGCUGGUCUGAGAGGAUGAUCAGCCACACUGGAACUGAGAAACGGUCCAGACUCCUACGGGAGGCAGCAGUGGGGAAUAUUGGACAAUGGGCGCAAGCCUGAUCCAGCCAUACCGCGUGGGUGAAGAAGGCCUUCGGGUUGUAAAGCCCUUUUGUUGGGAAAGAAAAGCAGCAGGUUAAUACCCCGCUGUUCUGACGGUACCCAAAGAAUAAGCACCGGCUAACUUCGUG
rnacentral:rRNA from 1 species